rnacentral:rRNA from 1 species
GAUGAACGCUGGCGGCGUGCCUAAUACAUGCAAGUCGAGCGAACAGACGAGGAGCUUGCUCCUCUGACGUUAGCGGCGGACGGGUGAGUAACACGUGGAUAACCUACCUAUAAGACUGGGAUAACUUCGGGAAACCGGAGCUAAUACCGGAUAAUAUAUUGAACCGCAUGGUUCAAUAGUGAAAGACGGUUUUGCUGUCACUUAUAGAUGGAUCCGCGCCGCAUUAGCUAGUUGGUAAGGUAACGGCUUACCAAGGCAACGAUGCGUAGCCGACCUGAGAGGGUGAUCGGCCACACUGGAACUGAGACACAGUCCAGACUCCUACGGGAGGCAGCAGUAGGGAAUCUUCCGCAAUGGUCGGAAGCCUGACGGAGCAACGCCGCGUGAGUGAUGAAGGUCUUCGGAUCGUAAAACUCUGUUAUUAGGGAAGAACAAAUGUGUAAGUAACUAUGCACGUCUUGACGGUACCUAAUCAGAAAGCCACGGCUAACUACGUG